AUUGAACGCUGGCGGCAGGCCUAACACAUGCAAGUCGAGCGGAUGAAGGGAGCUUUCUCCUGGAUUCAUCGGCGGACGGGUGAGUAAUGCCUAUGAAUCUGCCUGUUAUUUGUUGAUAACGUCCGGAAACGGGCGCUAAUACCGCAUACGUCCUGAUGUAGAAAGUGGGUGAUCUUCGGACCUCACGCUAUCAGAUUAUCCUAGGUCGGAUUAGCUAGUUGGUGGGGUAAAGGCCUACAAAGGCGACCAUCCGUAACUGGUCUGAGAGGAUGAUCAGUCAAAAUGGAACUGAGACACGGUACAGACUCCUACGGGAGGCAGCAGUGGGGAAUAUCGGACAAUGGGCGAAAGCCUGAUACAGCAAUGCCGCGUGUGUGAAGAAGGUCUUCGGAUUGUAAAGCACUUUAAGUUGGGAGGAAGGGAAGUAAGUUAAUACCUUGCUGUUUUGACGUUAACAACAGAAUAAGCACCGGCUAACUUCGUG
rnacentral:rRNA from 1 species